UUUCUAGUAUAAGUAUAUCCCAUACAAUAUUGGGGCAUAUCAGUACUAAAA
rnacentral:miRNA from 1 species